rnacentral:sRNA from 1 species
CUAAGAGAACGAGGCAAUCGAGUUCUUAUUUUUUCACAAAUGGUGCGGAUGUUAGAUAUACUUGCAGAAUAUUUGAAAUAUCGUCAAUUCCCCUUUCAAAGAUUAGAUGGAUCAAUAAAAGGAGAACUGAGGAAACAAGCUUUAGAUCAUUUUAAUGCUGAGGGAUCAGAGGAUUUUUGCUUUUUGCUGUCCACAAGAGCUGGAGGUCUAGGGAUUAAUUUAGCCUCUGCUGACACUGUUGUUAUAUUUGAUUCUGAUUGGAAUCCACAGAAUGAUCUUCAGGCACAGGCUAGAGCCCAUCGUAUUGGGCAAAAGAAACAGGUGAAUAUUUAUCGUCUAGUUACAAAGGGAUCAGUUGAAGAAGAUAUUCUUGAAAGGGCCAAAAAGAAGAUGGUUUUAGAUCAUCUUGUAAUUCAAAGAAUGGACACAACUGGGAAGACAGUACUACAUACAGGUUCUGCCCCAUCAAGUUCUACUCCUUUCAAUAAAGAAGAGUUAUCAGCCAUUUUAAAGUUUGGUGCUGAAGAACUUUUUAAGGAACCUGAAGGAGAAGAACAAGAGCCCCAGGUAAAAAAAAAAAAAAAAAAAAGCCUG